rnacentral:rRNA from 1 species
UACGUAGGGUCCGAGCGUUGUCCGGAAUUAUUGGGCGUAAAGGGCUCGUAGGCGGUUUGUUGCGUCGGGAGUGAAAUCCUCCAGCUUAACUGGAGGCUUGCUUUCGAUACGGGCAGACUUGAGGUACUCAGGGGAGAAUGGAAUUCCUGGUGUGGCGGUGAAAUGCGCAGAUAUCAGGAGGAACACCGGUGGCGAAGGCGGUUCUCUGGGAGUUACCUGACGCUGAGGAGCGAAAGUGUGGGGAGCGAACAGG